rnacentral:rRNA from 1 species
GUUUAUCAAAAACAUGUCUUUUAGAAUUUAAUUUAAAGUCUAGCCUGCCCACUGAAANNNUUUAAAUGGCCGCAGUAUCCUAACUGUGCAAAGGUAGCAUAAUCAUUAGUCUUUUAAUUGAAGGCUGGAAUGAAUGGUUGGAUGAAAUAUUAACUGUUUCAUAAAAAUUUAUAAUAGAAUUUUAUUUUUUAGUCAAAAAGCUAAAAUUUAAUUAAAAGACGAGAAGACCCUAUAAAUCUUUAUAUUUUAUUGGGGUGAUAUUAAAAUUUAAUAAACUUUUAAUUUAUAUUUAACAUAAAUUAAUGAAUUAUUGAUCCAUUUAUUAUGAUUAAAAAAUUAAGUUACUUUAGGGAUAACAGCGUAAUUUUUUUAGAGAGUUCAUAUUGAUAAAAAAGAUUGCGACCUCGAUGU